rnacentral:rRNA from 1 species
UGGGGAAUAUUGCGCAAUGGGGGAAACCCUGACGCAGCGACGCCGCGUGUGGGAUGAAGGUCUUCGGAUUGUAAACCACUGUCGCGAGGGACGAAGCUCUGACGGUACCUCGAAAGGAAGCACCGGCUAACUCUGUGCCAGCAGCCGCGGUAAUACAGAGGGUGCGAGCGUUGUCCGGAAUCACUGGGCGUAAAGGGCGCGUAGGCGGCCCGGUAAGUAGGGGGUGAAAUCUCAUGGCUCAACUGUGAGGCUGCCUUCUAGACUGCCAGGCUUGAGCACAGUAGAGGCGAGUGGAAUUCCCGGUGUAGCGGUGGAAUGCGUAGAGAUCGGGAAGAACAUCGGUGGCGAAGGCGGCUCGCUGGGCUGUUGCUGACGCUGAGGCGCGAAAGCGUGGGGAGCAAACGGGGAUUAGAUACCCUUGUAGUCCCUGAGCGGGCUGGCAAGGCGCAU